GGAUUUUUCUUUAUUCCUCUUUCCGAGAUUAAGGUUACGCGAAAUCCAUUUGGAUUGAUUUGUUGGAUUCAUUCUCAACUUCAGUUGGAUUUGGAGAAAAGCAAGGAUGGAUUGCUUGUAU